UACGGAGGGUGCGAGCGUUAAUCGGAAUUACUGGGCGUAAAGCGCACGUAGGCGGGUUGUUAAGUCAGGGGUGAAAUCCUGGAGCUCAACUCCAGAACUGCCUUUGAUACUGGCAACCUAGAGACUGGAAGAGGUUAGUGGAAUUCCCAGUGUAGAGGUGAAAUUCGUAGAUAUUGGGAAGAACACCAGUGGCGAAGGCGGCUAACUGGUCCAGCACUGACGCUGAGGUGCGAAAGCGUGGGGAGCAAACAGG
rnacentral:rRNA from 1 species